AUUAUUAUUAUUAGUAGUAGUAGUAGUAGUAGUAGUAGCGUUUCUUUCACAUUGGCUCUCCUCAAUGCUGCAU